rnacentral:rRNA from 1 species
AUUGAACGCUGGCGGAAUGCUUUACACAUGCAAGUCGAACGGUAGAGGGGGCAACCCCUCGAGAGUGGCGAACGGGUGAGUAAUAUAUCGGAACGUGCCCAGUCGUGGGGGAUAACGUAGCGAAAGUUACGCUAAUACCGCACACGAUCUAAGUAUGAAAGAGGGGGAUCGCAAGACCUCGCGCGAUUGGAGCGGCCGAUAUCAGAUUAGGUAGUUGGUGGGGUAAAGGAGCACCAAGCAAACGAUCUGUAGCUGGUCUGAGAGGACGCCCAGCAACACGGGAACUGAGACACGGUGAAGACGCCUACGGGAGGCAGCAGUGGGGAAUUUUGGACAAUGGGCGGAAGUCUGAUCCAGCCAUUCCGCGUGAAGGAAGAAGGCCCUCGGGUUGUAAACUGCUUUUGUACGGAACGAAAAGGUCUCUGUUAAUACGGGGGGCUAAUGACGGUACCGUAAGAAUAAGCACCGGCUAACUACGUGCCAGCAGCCGCCGUAA